AGUGUCAGAGUUGGACACUUGGCUUUUUUUAAAUAAGAACACUAGCGCCACCUGUGUGCGUACGUGACGAACCUUCUAGUAGUGUAACCUAACUUUUUGUGGCAUUACAUUUUUGGAGAAUCAAAAGUAGCGUCUCCUGUGACUUCGGUGCAAUCGAAGAGACAAAAAAAGUUUUGUUUGACUUGUGAAUAAACCUAAAAAAUGUGUAAAAAAAAGCAAGAAUUCGGCAAGGAAGACGAUUUCCAAACGAGUUGCAUGUGGGCAGCGCCCUCUCUUGGUUUAUGAAGCGAGACAAACGUGUUAAACAGUUAGCUUGUCUAUAUAUAUCUAAUUUUCCACCGGAAAAACAUCAUAUCGGUUCAUUUAGAGGUUAUUGUUCAUUUCAAAUCCCAGAGAAGAGAUAUAUUUGUCACACACUGAAAAAGUCUUAAGCAAUCAGCAGUUCCAACAGUGGAAAUGCAGUAGCUCUUUGCUUUGGAGUGUCUGGAGCAUGAUUUUGAGCAACCUCUAUGCUAAAUGUUGGGCGAGCAGAUGUUCCACGUUAUUGUUACCAAGAUUUGGUGAUGCUGCAGCAUCAGACUUGGGCACUCAGAGCACCCAAGAUGGGAAACAGUUAGCCCCACAAUGAAGUUGUGCAGAAUCUCUUUAUUUGGUGCUUCUCAUACAUGUGUUGGGAAUUCUAAAC